UUUGCCUACGGGACGCAGCAGUGGGGAAUAUUGCACAAUGGGGGAAACCCUGAUGCAGCGACGCCGCGUGAGCGAAGAAGUAUUUCGGUGUGUAAAGCUCUAUCAGCAGGGAAGAAAAAUGACGGUACCUGAGUAAGAAGCACCGGCUAAAUACGUGCCAGCAGCCGCGGUAAUACGUAUGGUGCAAGCGUUAUCCGGAUUUACUGGGUGUAAAGGGAGCGCAGGCGGGGCGGCAAGUCUGAUGUGGAAGCCCGGGGCCCAAACCCGGGGC
rnacentral:rRNA from 1 species